rnacentral:rRNA from 1 species
UACGUAGGUGGCAAGCGUUGUCCGGAUUUACUGGGCGUAAAGAGCGCGCAGGCGGUCGUUCAAGUCGCGUGUGAAAGCCCCCGGCUCAACUGGGGAGGGUCACGCGAUACUGAUCGACUCGAAGGCAGGAGAGGGAAGUGGAAUUCCCGGUGUAGUGGUGAAAUGCGUAGAUAUCGGGAGGAACAUCAGUGGCGAAAGCGGCAUCCUGGACCAAUUCUGACGCUGAGGAGCGAAAGCCAGGGGAGCAAACGGG